UGAUAUGAUUUUUUUUUUUGACUGGGAUGAGACUCAGCACCUCCAAAUCUGAGACUAUGGUCCUCUCUCAGAAAAGGGUAGAUUGUCCCAUCUGGGGUAGAAGAGAGCUAUUGCCCCAAGUAGAGGAGUUCAGGUAUCUCAUGGUCUUGUUCACAAGUGGGG